rnacentral:rRNA from 1 species
CCUACGGGGGGCAGCAGUAAGGGAUAUUGGUCAAUGGGGGAAACCCUGAACCAGCAACGCCGCGUGAGGGAAGACGGUUUUCGGAUUGUAAACCUCUGUCCUCUGUGAAGAUGAUGACGGUAGCAGAGGAGGAAGCUCCGGCUAACUACGUGCCAGCAGCCGCGGUAAUACGUAGGGAGCGAGCGUUGUCCGGAUUUACUGGGUGUAAAGGGUGCGUAGGCGGCUUGGCAAGUCAGUAGUGAAAUCCAUGGGCUUAACCCAUGAACUGCUAUUGAAACUGUCGAGCUUGAGUGAAGUAGAGGUAG